ACCGCCGCGCAUCGCCGAUACUUUCGGAGGAAGAACUCGGUGCCGCGCAGCGGCGCUGCUGUUGGUGGGGCGAUGCGAAAGAUACGGCGUGUGCUCGCCGCGAAGCGCGCAAUGUGCACCGCGCUAGCGUUCGAAACGCGUCGGUGUCGCUCGCUCUCUUCCUUCUUUCUCAUUUGUACGGUGAUAAUCCCCCUUUUUUUUCCACACGCCCUCUCAAAUCGCGCUCUCGUUUCGCGAGUGCGCUCGCGAAACAACGCCGAACGUCUCUAGCCGCGCGAAAAAAAUCGCGCGACUCGCAUUCAAAAUUUCGUUCCCCUUUGUUUUUUCGAAUCGCUUUCGAAUUGUCGCACUCUCUCACAGAGGGUGUCACGUCUGUCGCGGGAUCACGAUUCUCGCGAUCGACGCGGCGCGACAAACAUCCGCUCGUUCGUUCGUCGAUUCAAUUUGUGUUUCCGCUUUCCCUCGCGCGUACGCGUUUGACAGCACGGCAAUCGCGCGAAUGCGUCUCGUUGGAUGCUGCCGGCACCGCGCGUGGUCGACCUGGAAGCCCGUGCUCGCCACAGUACUGUGAGCGAGCACCGUCGCCGCUCCAGGUAGCAUCGGUGGCCGCGAUGGACGCGCGCGUGGUCGUCGGUACGUCGACUGCGGAAGAGACGUCGGUGGCGACGGCGACGCGAAGCGUCGCGACACCCUCGCCAGUGUCCUCGGCGCCGAAUACCGCUGUGACCGCCACCGGCAACGGAAGUGGCGGCAGCGGCGGCGGCGGCGGCGGCGGAGUCGUCAUCACGACACUCGCGUCCGCAUCUUGCACCUCGCAGAAUCCUGUUGUUGUCGUAGCGAGCCCCUCCAGCAAUCAUCAGCAACCAGCCGGUGUGCCGGUCGCCGCCGUGCCUAGAAUAUUCAGUAGGAACGUUAACGGAACCUUGGUGCAGACGUCCGUGCCGCAAAACGAGGCCGAGCUGCAGCUGUACAGAGUGAUGCAGCGCGCCUCGCUGCUGGGAUACUACGACACGCUCCUCGAGAUGGGAGGCGAUGACGUGCAACAGUUGUGCGACGCGGGUGAAGAGGAGUUUCUAGAAAUCAUGGCCCUGGUCGGCAUGGCAAGUAAGCCGCUUCACGUCAGGAGGCUUCAGAAAGCUCUGCAAGAGUGGCUCACUAAUCCUUCUCUGUUCCAAACGCCGGUCGUGCCGACGAACGCCGCCACUGCUGCCAAAAGUCCCGCGGCCGCCUUCACGUGUGCGAGCCCGCGGCCGCAGAUGCAGAGCCUGCCGACCGGCUUCGCCGCGACUGCUCAGACCUCCCUGACGACGGCGCCCUACGUGUCGACGACGCCUCACGUGCCGUUGACGCCGCUGCCCUGCCGCAGCGCCAGCCCGGUCGUGCCGGUCACCAGCGUCUCGGCGCCAGUGCCGUCCACGACCUUUCGCCAGAGUCCGAGCCCGAACACGUCUCUGCCUUACGCGAGCACUCACAGUCCCAAUGUGUUGCAGGUGGGAACGUGCGAGUCUUCAUGCGGCAGUGGCACAACACCAAGUCCAAGUGGCGGCGGUGGCGGCGGCGGCGGCGGCGGCGGCGGCGGUGCACCUGCGAGCCCGCCGCAGCCGACGCCGACCCUCUUGCAAUCGCAGGUGCAGCGGCUCGCCGAGACUGCGGAGAGGCUUGUCGCUACCAUAAGGCCCCUCGAUCCCAAGCCCCACAACGUGAAGAAAAAACUCUGCAAGAACUUGGAGAUAGUAAUGACCAUGUCCGACAGUGAUCCGCGCAAAAUGGACGAGAUCCGGAAGUACGCGGCGAUUUACGGCAGGUUCGAUUGCAAAAGAAAGCCGGAGAAGCCACUUACGUUGCACGAGGUGUCCGUGAACGAAGCCGCGGCGCAAAUUUGCAGAUUCGUCCCUGCUCUUCUCACCAGGAGAGACGAGCUGUUCCCUUUAGCCCGUCGUGUUGUUCGAGAUUCUGGCUAUCAUUAUUCCAAGAGCCAAUAUUUGUCGAUGUCGAGGCCGCGUGAGAACGGGGAGGAGGCCGACGGGGAACGCGCGAAACGCUGGAAACUCGAGCUGGAGGGUGAGGGUGAGGACGUGACGCAGGUUAGAUCACCCCGGCCACAGAAGAGGAGUUGGAUCUCCGUUGUUCCGGGACGGAUAUUAAUAAUUCUAUCACGAGAGGACACAGAUCGUCGAGUCCAGUUUGGAGGAAGAAGAGUAAUAAUGGGAUAUUCAGCGCCAGCGUAGAGGAAAUCAGCGACUCGGAUAGCCAGUUCUCGUUCUCCAACGAAGAAUCUUCGUCCAUGCACGAUACGAACGAGGCGGAGGCUGAGAACACCGAUAAGGAAGGUGAUUUUAAUCUAAAG
rnacentral:misc_RNA from 1 species